GCUUUCAUAGCUCAACGGAUAGAGCAGACCCGUCCUAAGGGUAAGAUGAGGGUUCAAUUCCCCCUGAAAGCA
rnacentral:tRNA from 1 species